UGCUUCCUUCAGUGCGCUUCGGUGGCCAACACACGGCCACGGAUACGGUCGCAAAUCGACGAAAACCGCUGAUCACACACGAACACGGCGCACAGCAGACACACAACACACGCAGCACAACACCUCGCGCACUAGGAUUCGGGACCCGUGGUGGUAUCUGCUGCUGCUCUAGAGGCGCGUCUCGUCGCCGUGUGUAUUGCGUUGCUUAGCGAUGAUCAACAACGAACGAACGAACGGGCUACCGAGAUUUUUGUGUUCUUCGGCAAAGCUGCUGAUGAGACCAACCGCAAGGCCGCAAGGUAGAUAUGGGGCCUGAGAUGCACAACACCAUCCGCCGGAUCGGAUCGGUCUACGGCGGCAGAUGCGGCGAUAGGCACACCACGCGCACUCACUCUGGUCUCAUUCACCUUAAACAAACACGCGAAAUCUUCCUCGCUGUGCGCGCGGCUACAGUGUUCGCGGCGUGGAGCAGCAGAAGAGCGAGCGAAGGAAAUUUGGCAGAAAUGAUGAUCGCACGGCGCAACGACGACGGACCGAAACCCGUUCCUCAAUCCGUAAGCGGUGACUUCGUUCUGGCGGUCGCGCGACCGAAACCAGCUAAAAACGCCGUUCGCUGGCGAUGACGACGACGACGACGACGACGACGACGACGACGACGAUGGAUGAGGCAGGGGCGGUCGACACGGUAGAAAAAAAACCAGUCCCGUAUGUGUGGCGGACUGCCACUGCUGCACCACUACCACAAAAAAGCGGUCCGCGCACGCACUCCAAACAACGGCGAUGACACGCACACGCGCGUCUCUCUUUGCACGCACGCUUCCGACGGCAGCGACGACGGCGGCGGCACCCUUUUUGGACCAAAAAAGUGGCAAAAUGUGUUACUCGCUUCUUCCUCUUCUUCACGCCGGCCGUGUGGGGUGUACUUGGAGCAUACACACCCUGCCAAUCCCCGCUCCCCCCGCGCAAGUGACAAACACGAAAAGUGCGAUGUUUACCAUCGGUCCACGUCUCCGUAUUGGCGUGUGCGGACGCGUGUGUAUGUGUGUGUUGGUGUGCGCGCGCCUGAUGUCAAAGGCAACAACAAAACAAAGCAGUCGUCGUCGUCGUCGCCGCUGCCGCCGAUCAAUCGAGUCACCUCCCGGAGGACAACCAUCCGCACCGUCGCACCGUGGUCCGGACCUUCGCUUAUGAUACUAUUUUCCCUCGGCAAAGUCUGGUGGUAUGAUAAUCCCUCGGGUUGCUAAACAGCUCUCUGUCGACUUCUGCAUCGCCACCAAAUGUGCAACACUUCAACCGGAACCUUACAUGAAACAUUAUCAAACCAUGGCCGUAGAAGAGGCAGAAACCACCACCACCGCCAGGAAUCGUCGUGCAAAAGGCACUGCCAUGGGCGACACAAGCAUACGUGUGGCUCGUACAGGAAACGGUCUCUGCUCCUACAUUGUGCUCCUCUGCUCGAUCGUGUAAACAGAGUCCUAUAAAUAGUCCUCGGCCUAUGGAGGCGCCAGUAAAUUAUACAAUAAUUCCCACACGGGAAAACUUUGGUGAAAAUCAAACCUCUCGCCACUCCCUCCGCUACAGCUCCGAAAUAAAGCCUUUACGGAAG